rnacentral:tmRNA from 1 species
AACCUUUUUUUUGCCGCCAUAGCGGCUUAUAUAGAUUCUGUCGGUGCAAGCCGGCUAUGGCGAUAAAUGGCCGUCGUAAUAAGCCCAUUCGGACCCGGGGGCGGUACCCGGCGCCUCCACCCCAGGGAUCAGUCGUCAGAGAUUGGUCCGAUCCCUGAGGCGGGGGCGAAACAGGAUCGACGAGGGUGUAAAGGUCGUGCUUUCGCUCGGCAUGGUACCGCCGUUAUCGGGCCAACCCUAUAGUUGCCAAUGACAACUAUGCGGAGGCUCGUCUCGCCGCGUAAGCAGCGCGAUAGCCUGAAAAUGAAGUCCUAGCCGCUUCGCGGCGGCUAGGCGCGGUUCGGAGGGCACCGGCCAACAGAAGCCCUCCACU